rnacentral:lncRNA from 1 species
UCAAAGUGAGCCGAUCUCACUCACUGUCAGACACUGCAGAGUGAGAAACAGAUGAUGGUUCUGUGGCAAACGUCCUUUUGCUGAAUAUUCUACCUACGGAAGAAGCAAAGAAGUCUAAGUUCUUUGGAGUAAGAUGCUCUCAAAUGCCUAGGAACACUGAUCUCCUAACUUGUCUUCCUGCUUUGAGUGUCCCUCUGAGGUUAAAGUUCCUGCCUCAGUCUCCAACAAUGGUAAGUACAAAAUCAAUGUUAGUUCCUGACCGCUCCCCCUCUCUGUGUAUUGGUCAAUCACUGUCUGAUCAUACUGUACUGAAAUUAAUUCUUGGAAUGUCUGUCUUCCCCUAGACUAUAAGCCUCUCUGGGCAAGAUCCACGUCUUACUCAUUUUUGUGUCUGCAGUUUAGUUCCUGGUUCAUUGUAGGUUCUCAAUAAACGUUUGUUAGAAUGAGUUGAUCUCUUGGAUCCAGUGCCCCAGAAAGAUAUGUAAGUACUAUUUUUAUCCUUUCCCAUUGUGUGUCCACCUUCUCUCCAAUCCUAGAUCACCAAAAGUGAAGCAGAAGUGAUGAGAGUAGCAAUUUGUAGUAUCAAAACGACUUCUUAUAGUGCACAGAAAGCCCAGCACUGUCUCGUAUGGGAGACUCGUGGUUCUGCCACUGUCUUGCUGGGUGACCUGAGAUAACUUCUUUUCUCUCUGGGUCUGAUUCCUCACAGGUCAUUUCCACUGCUGCCCACUGAGGAGUGCCACUGGAGAUGAUCUCACAACAAAGAGAGGGGGAGAGGUCAGGAACUAACAUCUAUUUUGUAGUUACCACUGUGGUAUGGUUUGCAACAUGGCUCUGUAACCCUCAGGAUCCCUACCAGAUAUUUUCAUCUAUUCCCUUAUUCUCCUCAGGUCCCUGGCCCUCCCCUUUCCUCUGUGCUCUCAGCAGCUGACCUUGUCUUUUCCUUUACUGAGAGUAGAGGCACCUCUUACAAAUACUCUGGCCUCUGCCUGGACUGACUGGGCUAAAUUGUCUCCGAAGAUGGCCACCAACCAUUCCUCCCACCUGUCUGCAUGCAGGCUGCUCCUCCCGUCAGAAGAUGGAGACUGCUUCCUUGCCCUUCAAUCCAAGCUGGCUCAUGACUUGCUUCAAUGAAUAGGAAAUGGCAGAAGUGAUGCUCUGAGGCUUCUGGGCCUAGACUUUAAGAGGUGUUGCCCCUUUCCUUUUUCCCUCUUGGGAUCCAGCCUACCACAUAGAGAAGUUUGGGUUGACAACUAAAUGUGAGAGAGAGACAGACAGAGAGAAGAGGGAGAGCUGAUUCAGCUAGACCUUAGUCAUUCCAGCCAUCCUAGCUGAAGCACUAGCAUGUGAAAGAAGCCACCUUCUAACCUAUCAAUCAGAGCCCCCAAUUUUACUGACCUCAGUCAACACCAUGUGGAACAGAACUACCCCAGGGAGCCCAACCAACCCAUACAAUCAUGAGAAAUUAAAAACUGAUGUUGUAGCCUCCUGAGUUUUAAGGUAGUUUGUUACACAAAAAUACUGGAAUUUUGACCCACCUUCACCUCCAAUGCCAACCUAGUAAACCUGGAUAUAUCUUUCAAAAUUUGGCUCAAGUGUCAACUCUUUCAUGAACCCUCUGUAUCCUUUUCUUGCUCAUUCAAGCCCUAUUUUCUCUUCUCCUCCCCAAAAUUCCAUAGUACUUUGUAUUACAAACUAUGUGCUUACAACCCCCAAAGUCUCUGGGCAUCCAGAAGGCAGAGAUUUGGCUUAAUUCAUUUUUGCCUCUGCCUAGCCUAACACCCGGCACAUUUAGAUAUUUAGUUAUUGUUUGCUGAAUGAAUGGAUGCAUGAAGAAGAAAAUUUAACAGAUGAUAUCUACAGGCACAUCUGGCUCCAAAAUUGAAUCAUGUCAUCUAGCAAUGCUCAGUAAAGUUAACAUAAGCAAUUUC